GAGUGAUAUGAUGGCAUACCAUCUUUCGGGACUGACUUACAAUGUUGAUAUUUCUCGUAUUUUACUGAUCACUU